AACUGUUGGCAUCAGUCCUCCAUUGCCACUGCCCUGGGUCUGCAACACUCCCACCAUGAAAGUCUCAGAUAGUUUGUUCCUCAUGGCCCUUCUUUCAGCGGUUCGUGGCCAGCAACUCACCUCCUCAGAAUCUGUGGUAAAAAGGCAAGGAGAACCGGUUACACUGUCCUGUCACGUGACCGGAGUCUCUCUCACUUAUCUUCACUGGAUUCGCCAGAGGUCAGGACAUGGCCUGGAGUGGAUUGGACUGAUAGAUGGUGGAACCGGAAACAUUUUUGCAGCGUCUCUUCAAGGGCAGUUCACCAUUACCAAAGACAGCACCAGAGAGGAGGUUUACUUAAAUGUGAAGAGUCUGAAGCCAGAGGACUCAGCUCUUUAUUAUUGUGCUAAAGAGGCACAUUGACACAGAAGACUGCUCGGCUGUACAAAUACUGAGCCCUGAGGCAUGACCGGGGCUCCUGCAGAAAUGGUUGAUGAUAAGCAUUGAAGAUUAACAAGCAUUACAGGGAAAUGUAUUAAAGGUCCCAUGGCAUGCUACUUUAUGAAUGCUUUUAUAUAGCUGUUGGUCUAUUAUCCUUUUGCUUUUAUUUAUGAUAAUCACAUUGUAUUGCCACUGUAUGGAAGGCUACACUUGCCCUUAUCCAGAGCUGGUUUACCAGAACACAACAUUUAAAACUGAGCAGUCGAUGCCAACAGACGGUUACAACGUCAAUCAAUAGUCAAGUGUGUGAUAUGAUGGUUGAUUCUUUUAUAUUGAGUAAAACGUUCAAUGUCCACCAUGAUCAUGCGCAUCACUAGUAAACCAUACCUCACCAACCGGGCAACUCUCUGCUAUCAAAAUCUGGCCCCAGUUGCCAAACGGAAGUAGAAUCAUAAGAGCGCAUUGAGGUGUCGUUCACGAGAAC